AAAGAGAGAGACAAGCAGGCCUCCCUCCGGGCCUGGCUGCUGUCCCCUGAACCCCGUGAACAAAUCUCUACCAACAAUCAUAAUAACAAUAAAUAAUAAAUAACAAUAAAACAGUAGUUAACAGUCCCUCCCUAGCAGGAUAACAAUAAAAUGCAAGAGGAGAGAUUUUGAGGAGGGGCCAGGGGACCGAGUCACCAUCACAGCAUCUGAGGGGAAGACAAGGGAGGGAGGAGGCAAGUUAGCUUCUUCCUAUAUGCCCUGGGGGCGCCGGGUUUGGGAACCCCUGUCCGCCCGGGUCCUCCGGCCAGAGGAGGAGAGGGAGAGCCAGGAGGCCGCUCCGCCUGCUGCUUUUUCGCCGGCUUUGGCUUUGUGCGAUCAGGGCAGGGCUCCCACAUGUGGGGGUGAUUAGUGGCUUUGGGGAGUCUCUGGAGUCCCCGUUUUGAAGAGGAGGGCGAGCGAACAGGGUGAGGCGAGGGGGCAGAGGGGGGUGAGGCGGUGGCCGAGCGGGUCGGCCCCUCUGGGGACACAGGUGCCGGGCGGCCGCGCGGGUCGGAAGGAAGCAGGAAAGCACGUACGGCCCCGGGAGCCGGAGAGCAGGGCCGGGUUUCCGGUAGGCCCGGGCAGGUUCCCUUUCUAGGGGCUUUUCAAACACACAAGCAAAGAAAAACGACAACGACAGCAACAACAACAAGACAACAAAAAAACCCAAAGAGCAAAAGAAGGAGAAGAAGGAAGGAGGGGUUGAGGCGCUGAAUUGUCCUUGGUGCGCUUGGAGCCAGCGGAUUUCCAGAAAGGAAGAGGAGACCGCGAUCCCGGAUCCCUCCACGUUCGCCUCAUUCUCUCCAGAUUCUGAGUGGUCUCUCGGACCACCCGAAGAGCCCCCUGGAGUCCCAGUUGCUCACCUCCUCAGCCCCAACCCAGGACAGAGAACUACAGCCGGCAUCACGACAGUCCUGACCACAGACAGGGCCACUUGGCCGGUCGUGGAGAUCCUGGACGUUGCAGCUCAGACUACGCAGACUCCGAGCUCUCCACCUCCCUGUCCAAGCACACACAGUCGCUCCUGGGAAGAAGCCAGUCCAGGCUGGAGAACACAAGAGCCAGGUAGAGUCACUAUAAAGAUGAACUGAAUAUAAAGAGUCAAUAUAGGGGGACGCUUGGGGGGCUCAGAGGUUAAGCAUCUGCCCUCAGCUCAGGGCGUGAUCCUGGGGUCCGGGGAUCGAGUCCCACAUUGGGCUCCCCUCAUGGAGCCUGCUUCUCCCUCUGCCUGUGUCUGUGUGUCUCUCAUGAAUAAAUAAAUAAAAUCUUUUAUUUUAAG
rnacentral:lncRNA from 1 species